GAUUAACGCUGGCGGCAUGCCUAAUACAUGCAAGUCGAAUGGUAGCAAUACCAUGGCGAACGGGUGAGUAACACGUAGGUAACCUGCCCUUAAGACGAGGAUAACCGUUGGAAACGACGGAUAAUACUGGAUAGGACAACAAAAUCGCAUGAUUAGUUGUUUAAAGAUUUAUCACUUAAGGAGGGGCCUGCGGCGCAUUAGCUAGUUGGUGAGGUAACGGCCCACCAAGGCGAUGAUGCGUAGCCGGACUGAGAGGUUGAACGGCCACAAUGGAACUGAGAACGGUCCAU
rnacentral:rRNA from 1 species